CUUUUUCUGUGACUGACAUGAAAGGGUUAUGAAGGAGUCUUCACACAAAUACAAUGCAAUUUUUCCAAAGGGUCAGAGGGAAAUAUUUUAGGUUUUGAGAGAUACGAGGUGUCUGACACAACUACUCAACUCUGUCCUUUUAGUAGGAAAAAAGAGCCAUAAACUACAAACAAAAAAUGAGCACAGCUGUGUCCCAGUAAAUCUUUGUUUAAAAAUCAGUCAUGGGACAAGAUUUGGCCUAUGGAUCACCACUUCCCCAGCCCUGAUUUAAUGAGUGGCAACAGGUGCGGAGAAGGCGUCUCAUGGUUCCCCCUGCGCAGAUGAUCUCUAGAGCCCAGAUUUAUCUGAAGUCCUCUUCCGUGUUCUUGAUAAGCAUUCUUGUGGAGGGAAGGUGCAUAAUAAAUGGAAAGGAUGCCCUUGCUCUUGUGAGACUGAUAUAUAUUUCUGAAGAGUCUAACAAAAAUCUAACAGCUCCGGACUACACAUGCUUUUAACAACUGAACCAAAGCCAGAUUCCUUGUUUUAAAUAUCUUCGUGCCAGUUGCUAAAAGAACAUCUUGAGACCAAAGGAAAGUUAAAAGGGAGUAUGAUUGGCCUUUGCUCAUUAAUUCAAUCAACAAUGUACGUGGAACUCACCUAUAAAGUGCAGUGGCUCUGAACAAGGAAGUCCUGUCCGAAUGUCAGUUCUGCUGCCCUCUUACAUGCGGCCGUGAACUUCCCGGAUUUCUCCAAGUCUGUUUCAUUAUCUUCAAAAUGGGAAUAGCUCUGUCUUAAAGACAAGAGAUAGAGGCUAUGUUAUAGGAAUUAAAAUGAUCAAAGAACAUAGUGCUUCUAAGUAGGACAGAGCUAAGAAUUAGAAUUUUUAGCAUGUGCCCAUCAUGUGAACAUCCCAUCACCCGAAAUGAAUUAAUUGCUGGAAUAAAUUGGUUCAAAUGUCUACCAUCUUGAAAAUUUUAAUUUUCACCAUUGAGCACCUAGCAGCAAAUUCCCCUCCACUCCCUGUACAGGGUCACACAAACUAAAGAAUGCCUGGCUAGCUUAGGGGCAGAA
rnacentral:lncRNA from 1 species